CAUUCAUUCAUCCAUCUAUCCAUCCAUCCAUCCAUCCAUCCAUCCAUCCAUCCAUCCAUCUAUCCAUCCAUCUUAUUUUUUUGAGCCAUUUCAAAGUAAGCUGCAGACUUAAUCCUCCUCACUCUGACCAGAUGCCUGACAAAGCAACUUGAGGAAAAGCUUAUUUUAGCUCACAGUUUAAGGAGACACAGUCUACCGUCGCAGAGAAGAAAUGGCAGCAGACAACUUUUUCACCUCCCUCACACCUCAAUGAAGAAGGGAGCAAACAAGACAGGAAGUAGGGGUGUACCAUAAACCUAAAGGUCUGCUCUGUGCACCCCCCCACCACGACCUCAUGACCUAUUUCCUCCAGUGAGUUGUGCUGACAACCUUCCACAGCAGCACUAGCUGUGAACCAAGUGUCCAAACACAUAAGCCAAGGGGAGCUGAUUAAUGCUCAAACCAUAACAACCCCUAACGUAUGCAUAUAUCCUCAAAUUAAAUUCUACAUCACAAAGAAUGUUGAGCAGGGAAUGACAUAGUCAAACUUAGGAGUGACAAAGAACGCACAGAUAUCAGUGAGGAUGGUAUGGAUGAAAGAGGCUUAGAGUCUAGAGACAGACAGACGGACAUUAUGAAGAUCCAGAGAGAGAGAGGAUGACAGCCUACAUCAGGGCGGGGCUGGGCAGGAUGAGAGCAGUAGACAGUAGAACUGCAUUUGAUUGAUCAGACAUAGGGGACAGAAGGAAAAUAUAAUGGACAUCCAUUGUCCCAAUUUCUAUCAUGAACAAAAGAUUAAGUGGGACUGUAUAUGUAUUUUGGAAUCAAAAUUAAGAUGAUAAAAUACAGCCAAGCAUAGGGAUCUGUGCCUUUAAUCCCAGUACUCAGGAAACAGAGGCAGAUGGAUCUCUAUGAGUUCAAGGUCAGCCUGGGCUACCUAGCAAGUUCUAGGAUAGCCCAGGGCUGCAUAAAGAGACCCUGUCUGAAACAAAAUAGAAUCAGACCUCUUCAAAGAUAGUAAAAAAUAUUGGUGAAUUUUGAGUAUAAUUUUUGUAGUAUCUAUAAAACAUCCAGAUAUAUGAUCUAGUAAUCAGAACAGAGAAUUCCUGGUUAGGGGCACUUGUCAAAAAGCUGUGUGGAGAACUCAGGUAGUGCCUAUGGCUUUGUUCCACAGAGCAAGGAGCUAUGGCCUGGAAUAAAACCAACGUGAUGCUACAUGAGGCUUAAAGGGAAAAUAGGGAAGAUACAGCCAUAAAGAAAUGAAGAAGCUGCAGUUGGUAAAAGAACCAGGAAAGGAUGAGGUCCGGGAAGCAGGGUAAGAGAGACUACAGAGAGCAAAGAACUGGCCAACAGUGCGGAAUGUUCAGGAGUCAGUAAAGGUGAGACGACUCAGAAGGGUCAAUGGGAUUUGACACCUCAGAGGUCGAUGCUGACCCUGGAAGAAAAUACUCCUCAGAGAUGGAGAAAUGGAAGCUACCAGUGGGUGGGAGGUGGAGUGACAGAAAACCAGAUACUGUGUUAAACCAACUGCUUUAGAACUUUGACCGAGAGAGAAAGGAAGAAGUUCUGUAAUACUUAUCUAGAGGAGGAUGUGCCUUAAGAUUGGAAUAUCUUCGCCAUAAUAUAAAUAAAUGUCUAUAAUUAUUAAAUUGACACAGCUUUGUGCUGGUUUGAAGGGGAAUACCCCCCACUGGCUCAUAUAUUAGGGUUAGACGUUAUCGUCUUGUUGGAGAAGGUACAGCCUUGUUGGAGGUAGUGUGUCAUUGAGGGUAGAUUUUGGGGUUUGACGCGCUCAAGCCAGGUCCAGUGCCUCUCUCUCUCUUCCUGAUGCCUGUGGAUUCAGAUAUAGAACUCUCAAUCUACUUCUCCAGCACCAUAUAUGCCUGCACACCACCCUUCUUCCUGCCAUGACGAUAAUAGACUCCGAAUAAUAAACCUCUGAAACUUUAAGCCAUCCACAGUUCAAGGUUUUCCUUUACAGGAGUUGCCAUGGUCAAGGUGUCUCUUCACAGCAAUAGAACACUGGUUAAGGUAGCCUUCCGUCUAGAACUUUAACUCACUAUGGAGGUUUGAAUAAGAAUGGCCUACAUAGGCUCAACAAUUUGAAUGCUUAAUCAUCAGGGAGUGGCACUUUUUGAAAAGGAUUAAUAGGUGUGGCCUUGUUGGAGUGGGCAUGGUCUUAUUGGCGGAAGUGUGUCACUGGGGGUUGGCUUUGAGGUUUCAAAAGCCCAUGCCAAGCCAGUUCUCUCUCUUCCUGUGGCCUGUGGAUCACAGCCACUGCUGCUGUGCCAGGUGUGCCAUCAUGCUCCCUACUGUGAUGACAAUCAACUACCUCAGACACUGUAAACAAGCCCCUAAUUCAAUGUUUUCCUUUUUAAGAGUUGUCUUGGUCACGGGGAUGCUUCGCAGCCAUAGAACAAUGAUGAAGACACUCUCAGAUCACACAUGAACUUUUGUAACUAAGUAAACUAUGUACGGAACCCAGAGUCUUCUGGAACAUGAAGGCCUGAAUAUCAGGCAGGCAUCAUUGGCUGUUAUGUCCUCAUCUCUCGAUUGAAACAUCGAUAGCCAAGAGCAACUAUGUGUCUCAAGAUCUAACAGAGAAGUAGAAAAACACCACCUGGAGGAGACAGUCCUUACUUUCUAACACAGUCGUGUGGAAGGUAGCCUAACUAUGCUCUCAAAGGCACAGCCCUGCCUAGGGAUUUCUUCCAUGCCUCACCGCAAUGUGCUCAUCUUUAUCUGGAUAAAACAGACAGAAUGGAGCCCCACUUUCACUCCCAGAUUAGAACUGAUUCCUCAUUCCUCUGCAGCUCACCUUCCAAAUGACUUCUGCUAGCUAAGCCUCGCGUCCCUUUGAAUCACAUGACGUCAGGUGAAAUCAGUUGUCCUGUGCCGAGAAGGAGAAGGAACUCAGUUUGGGGACAACUGGCUCAAAAUACAGAGAACCCUUUUUUGUUAAGUUCCCAAAAGGAACUUCCCUUGUUACUUAGAGAACACAGAAAUCUUCUCUCUAACCUCGCUGUCCUAAUACGUCUGUCUGAAACCUGAAGAAGCUCUGCCUUGCAUUGGUACUUUGCGUUUUUCUGUCUUGUUUUGUUUUUUCUGGUAAACCACUGCAAUUGCUUGGCUGUGCACGCCUUCGUGGGGCUUGGCUACUACUAUACCAUUCUGCACUUGCAAAUAUGUCCUUUUCUAGAUGUGGUGAGGAAAAAAAAAAAAAGCCUCUACAUGCUGAACUAAUGCCAUCUGCCUCCAAAAAUGCCCUAAUUGUAUCAGCCAAACGAGCAUUUCUUAUUUUUAACGCUGCCAUCACUGGAUUGUUAGAGCAGCAUUGUUAAAAGGAUAAUGACAGUGUGAGCCUCAAAUAGGUUUUCUUAAAAUGAUUGCUUUGCCCUGUGGGCACUGGCAAGGCAGUCGGGAAAUUCUAUCAGGGUCAGCAGGUCCUUGGAUGCUGCUCACCACAAGACUGGCUGUCUGAUCUUCAGGUUUUGGGGUUUUUUUUUUGUUAUCUGCACACACACAAUAUCUAGUUUUAGGUAUCGGAGCUCGCUUCUGUGCCUGUCUCAGGAUCCUUUUUACGUUAAUGGCCAGUGUUUAGCUUUCCUGUUAGGUCAACAGCUGUGGCUUCAUUUUUUAUUUUUCUCGUAUUGGUGGAAAUUUUCUUAUUCUGGGAUUCAAACACUCAUUGAUUUUGAGGAAGUUACCAUCCCAGAAAUUGACAGCCUGACUGUGAAACCACAGAUCUGCAUACUGCAUCUACUGCAUGCCUCUUUCCUUAGGGGAAGCUAUGAGGCUUGGCCAAGGCCUACAAGCUGGUAGAGUGGAAGCCAACUGCCCUGGAUGCACAGCAUGGCGGCCGCUCCACUGCUCUGUGUCUGGGAGUGGAGAGAUCACCCUGGGUUCUUCACUGGCCUCAGGUUGUAGAUAGGAAUCAAUGUGGAACUGAAACCUGACUCUGAAAAAGGGAGGCGUUUGAAUUCAAGAGAACCUAUCCAGAAGUCAAGGUACUGAUUUGAUCCAGAACUACGGAGAAGAAGGCUCAAAGAGAUCUCUGAGGAGUAGAAACUGCCCAGUGAGAGACUUUAAACUUCAAACAAAACACACGAAGCUGGAGAGGUGGCUCGGUGGUUAAGAGCACCAGCUGCUCUUCCAGGGAACCUAGGUUCAAUUCCCAGCACCCCAUGCAGCUCACAACUACCUGUAACUGUCUAGUUCUGGGGUAUUUUACACCACCUCACACAAAAUAAGAAUAAAUGCAUUAUAAAGAAAA